rnacentral:rRNA from 1 species
AUUGAACGCUGGUUGGCAUGCUUUACACAUGCAAGUCGAACGGUAACAGGGAGCUUGCUCCGCUGACGAGUGGCGAACGGGUGAGUAAUAUAUCGGAACGUACCCAAGAGUGGGGGAUAACGUAGCGAAAGUUACGCUAAUACCGCAUACGAUCCAAGGAUGAAAGCAGGGGACCUUCGGGCCUUGUGCUCCUGGAGCGGCCGAUAUCUGAUUAGCUAGUUGGUGAGGUAAAGGCUCACCAAGGCGACGAUCAGUAGCUGGUCUGAGAGGACGACCAGCCACACUGGAACUGAGACACGGUCCAGACUCCUACGGGAGGCAGCAGUGGGGAAUUUUGGACAAUGGGCGCAAGCCUGAUCCAGCAAUGCCGCGUGAGUGAAGAAGGCCUUCGGGUUGUAAAGCUCUUUUGUCAGGGAAGAAACGGCUGUGGCUAAUAUCCACGGCUAAUGACGGUACCUGAAGAAUAAGCACCGGCUAACUACGUGCCAGCAGCCGCGGUAAUACGUAGGGUGCAAGCGUUAAUCGGAAUUACUGGGCGUAAAGCGUGCGCAGGCGGUUUUGUAAGUCUGUCGUGAAAUCCCCGGGCUCAACCUGGGAAUUGCGAUGGAGACUGCAAGGCUAGAAUCUGGCAGAGGGGGGUAGAAUUCCACGUGUAGCAGUGAAAUGCGUAGAGAUGUGGAGGAACACCGAUGGCGAAGGCAGCCCCCUGGGUCAAGAUUGACGCUCAUGCACGAAAGCGUGGGGAGCAAACAGGAUUAGAUACCCUGGUAGUCCACGCCCUAAACGAUGUCUACUAGUUGUCGGGUUUUAAUUAACUUGGUAACGCAGCUAACGCGUGAAGUAGACCGCCUGGGGAGUACGGUCGCAAGAUUAAAACUCAAAGGAAUUGACGGGGACCCGCACAAGCGGUGGAUGAUGUGGAUUAAUUCGAUGCAACGCGAAAAACCUUACCUACCCUUGACAUGUCAGGAAUGCCGAAGAGAUUUGGCAGUGCCCGAAAGGGAACCUGAACACAGGUGCUGCAUGGCUGUCGUCGGCUCGUGUCGUGAGAUGUUGGGUUAAGUCCCGCAACGAGCGCAACCCUUGUCAUUAGUUGCUACGCAAGAGCACUCUAAUGAGACUGCCGGUGACAAACCGGAGGAAGGUGGGGAUGACGUCAAGUCCUCAUGGCCCUUAUGGGUAGGGCUUCACACGUCAUACAAUGGUACAUACAGAGGGCCGCCAACCCGCGAGGGGGAGCUAAUCCCAGAAAGUGUAUCGUAGUCCGGAUCGUAGUCUGCAACUCGACUACGUGAAGUUGGAAUCGCUAGUAAUCGCGGAUCAGCAUGCCGCGGUGAAUACGUUCCCGAGUGU